ACGACAUAUCUCGGAUUCUUCGGCUUUCGAUCGGGUGUUUCGACCGGUGUUUCUAUCGGUACGUGCAGAAGCCUGCAGUCAAGGUCCCGAAGAAAUAAAAGUAGUCGCCAACUUUUGUAUUAAUUGGAACAACUCAAAUCUUGUCAAACGUAUGAUGCGAAUGGCCCGUUACGAUUACGAUUAUGUUAUAAAUGUUGUAAUCUUGUUGGAAAUCGAUAAAGAACAACUGGAAGAAUAGACGAUGGGAUGCAUCGUGCACUUGACUCGUUCCCUACUUUCGCACAGUUACACAGUUAUAGUCUAUAUGGAAUAUUCUCGAUAAUGACCCGGAAUAAUCGAUAGAACUUAAGUCUGUACGGCAAGGAAAACCGCUUCGAUCGAUAGGAUGACACGCUCUGGUCGAUUGACCAACGAAUUAUUUAAGAACCCUCAAAAACUACGAUUGGCGGAAAUCCUAUUGACGUUAUAACGAUGUAAAGAUAGCUUGUUGUAGCCCUUCUCGAUUGCACGACGAGAUUAUUCGAUAAUGGAAAGAAUAAGUCGAUCCAUAAGAAUAUUCCGAUCAAUGUUUACGAGUAGGAUGAAAAUUGUAGCUAUAGUAAGAUAAAAAUGACAUAUUUCUUUUGAGAAUCGGCAAACGAGUCUGUUUCCUGAAAAACUCGUACAACGUUCUUCCACUAGCCGUGUAUAUACGAAGCCGCGUACUAAACUGUUCGAAGAAAAUGUGAAUAAUACAUAGUCGAACAAAGUCGAAGGUGAAUAGGCGCGAAUAAAUCAACGAUUACGUUCAAUUUUAUUGGAAUAAAUUUACAAACGGCUGGAACUUGCUUCAAAGUAUCGCGGAUUCGAGCAACGAAUCGAAUCGAGUGUAACGAAACGCUGAAUUUUCGAAAUCCGAACGUCACGCUAAAUAUAAUUGGAAUCGUCGUAUUUGCCUACUACUUAGACAUUUCGCGCGAUAACUUAUCGUUAGCGUUGGCAUGCAAUACGUACAAUGGCAUCUCUGGCAACAUCGAUCGAUCUAUUUACCAAGAAAGCAAAGGAUACGUAAAAUAUACGUAUGUAUAGGUAGAUGCAAACGUGCGAGCGAGUGACAGGGUCCGUGCACUCGAUUGGCUUUUCAAAAAUUUAUCAAUCCGCCGGAACAUGCAAUCUACGUCAAAGUAAAACGCUAUUCUCGAAAGGAGGAGACAUUCAACGGAUAUAUUAUUAUAAUUUUAAUGAAAUCCAAAUACACCUGUAUCUCACGUUUUCCAUUCAAGAGUUUUACAAGAGUAUGUGCAUAUGUUUAGUCAUAUGUUUACUGUAAACUUGCAAAUCGAUCCAUAUUUAUUAUUAUUUGUAUAUAUUUCACCUAACAAAGAUCACGAUUAUCAAUUUAUUGCGUCAGCUAAUCGAGUGUUUACGGCACAAGAGACAGACAAACGCGAUUAUCGAACGUACGACGUAAUUCUUCGUCGAAAGCAUGCGCAAGAUAUCUCGUUUAAUUUCCUCUGCGUCACUGUCUUGUUAAAGUUAUGUAAAAAUCGAUGAUUCGUUGAUAGUAUCGAACGUGUGUGGUAAGAAUGCGUGUUUAAUUGGAACUCGUUGUAGGGACUCGUCUAAAUGAUAUUUAUUUAAAACCGCUAUAUUUUCAAAAUAACGUCAAGAGAAAUUUCAUUCUCUCAAUUUUGUAUAAAAAAAAAAAUGUAGCGAACAUUGUUGACAGAAAAUCGAUAUCUGCCGGUAAGAGGAUUCCCCCGAAUAUCUAAAACAUUUAUCACAUUUCCUCGACACGCGAUGUAUAGUUGGAAAUCUUGUCGCUUGUAAAUCCUUAAUGAAGCAGUUAUAUCUUGGAGAGAAAAGGUCGCGUCAUUACAAUUUUUACACAUCUCUGGACUUUAAACCUUCCAAUAUAAGAAUAUGGAUCCACAAUCGAGAUAUAGGGAAACUACAACGGGUUCUGUGGGAAGGCCAUGGGAACAAAUUACGUACGGAGACGAGCAACAAUCUGCGCGUGAAAAGAUUCUUAGAAGCCGUACCAUUCAUAAUGAGUACAACGAAAGAUAUUCACGCAGCUACGGUGAAUAACGAUUUAGAGGGGCUGAGGGGCACAGUCGAGGCCUCGUCACCCAUCGUUCUUUGCGCCAAAGAUGGCAACGGCUUGAACGCCUUGCACAAGGCUGCUGGUUUGGGUCACACGGAAAUCGCGAGGGAAAUUCUUGGAAAAUUCCCUUUCGUUGUAGAGGCGCAGGAUAACGAUGGCAAGACGCCGUUACAUUAUGCGGCUGCGGCAAAAGACGAUGGAACGUUGUAUAAUUUGAUAACGGAAUAUGGAGCCGAUGAAAGCAAAUUAGAUCACAAACAAAAGGCGCCGGCGUUUUACAAAAAUCGGCCAUCGGAUAUCGACCAAUCGCUGUUAACCGUGAUACCGGAAGCACCUCGAGUUGCCGGAUCUUCGUAUCCCAAACACUGGGACUGGAGGAUCCUAGAAGCGGAGCAAGCUAUAUCCAAAGGAAUGAAAAAAGCCAGCAGCGCGGAUAUCGAUAGCUCAUUUGGUAGCGCGGAAUCGACAACGAAAAGCUUGAGUAGAUCUAUGGAACAAAUAAAAAAUGUCGAGGAGGAUCGCGAGAAGGAGCAACAGGGAAACGCAGAGGACACAGAAAAUCAUGAAGGUGCAGAGGAUACAGAGAACAUUAAAAAUGCAGAAGACGCAGAAGAUGCAGAAGACGCAGAAGAUGCAGAAGACGCAGAAGGCGCAGAAGGCGCAGAAGAUGCAGAAGAUGCGGCUAAUAGAGAAAGCGCUGAACCUACUGAAAAUACGGGAGAUACGGAAAAUAGAGAGGAAGAGGAGAACGCGGAACAUGCUGAAGAAUCCAAAGAACCAGAAACCACAGAAAAUAAGGAAGAACACGAGGGAGUAAAUGUCGAGGACACUGAAGAGAGGUCCUCGGACGAUGACGUGGUAACAGGUGCGGCGGUCCCAGAAACUGAGGAAAAUUCCAAUGCGGAAAACGAAGAUGCGGAAGAGUCGAAGCCAAAGGAAGUAGAUGGUGAGGAAGAGAGGAAAGAAGAAGAAGAAGAGAAAGAGGAAGAGGAGGAGGAAGGAGCCCCGAAAAUGGAAGAAGAAAGAAACGAGCCGAGUACAGGCGACUCUGGUGUUGAUGAUCCAGGGAACGACGAAGACCAGCAGGUAAUCGUCGGCGAACACGAGGAGCUUCCGGAAGCAGAAGUAAACGAGGGCAGCAUGACGGCGGACCCGGAAAUCGAGAAGCUGCUGGAGACCGGCAACAUGGAGCAAUUGGCCGCGUUAGUGUUAAGUGGCGAAGGCAGAAGACUGGUCGGCCGACAUUCGGGCAAUCCUGAGCUGCAGGCAUUCAUCGAUCGUGUCCCUUCUUACAUGGGGAAAAUUCAUGCUGUACACAUGGCAGCGCAAGAAGGAAACCUGAGAGAUCUGCAGAGCGCCUUAGAUCGGCGCAAAUUUGCGGUUGCGAGAGACGGAUCAUCGCCGCACGGUGCAACACCUCUUCACGUUGCUGUUGUAUUUGGAAACACCACCGUUAUCAGAUAUCUGGCAGGCAGGUUUCCAGAAACGGCGCAUGCGAUCGAUCUCGAUGGCCGAACUCCUUUGCACUAUGCAGCCACCAUAGCGGACAACGGCCAUUACUACAACCUUCUACUUCAUUUGGGUGCCAAUCCUUUAGUUCAAGACAAUUUGGGUCAAAAGGCGGACUAUUACAAACAAAACCAAUCGGAAUUUUCCCAUAAAUCGCUUCUCCGCGAUUUCGGAGUUAACGAGAAGCUCGCCGACGAGAUGUUGGUGGACAAAGUUCCCGGAGGCGACACGUAUUCCGCGCGUCGAGACAUUACCGAACCAGAGACCCUGGCUACCUUGGAGAGAUGUUUCCGUCUUCUGAUCGGCGUAAGACACGGUACGACGCCAAAAUCCGCUGGGAACUCCGGCACACUGAUCGGCCGUUGCCUGACGCGGCCCGUAUUCGAUCGUAUCAAGCACCGUGUGACACGCAUGGACCACAAUCUCUUUGAUGUGAUCUGGCCCGCUUUAAAAAAAUACGGUAGCUCGGCUUACAACAGCAAGGCGGGCAGCGCUUAUUCGGUGGCCAGCAACGUGGACGAGUACGAGUCUGUGUCGGUGGUAGCGCCGGACUACGAAAGUUACAUCGUGUUCGCAGACUUUUUCGACCCUUUGAUCAGGGACAUACAUUGCGUGACUGCCAGCGGUGAUCUUCCCGACCACCCUCCGCCGAGAUUCUUUUACAACGAGAACGAUGACGGCGAAGAGAAUGCCGACACGUUGGACGAAGUGACGGUGUCGGCGAUCGAGGCGUACGAUCUCGAUCCUCCGGCCAAAUACGUUCAAGCUGCUGUAAUAGAGUGUUGCAGAAAUCUGGAAAAUUACACGCUUCCCUUGACGCUUACGGUGAACCAGCUGGAAGAGGUGGAACGAGAGAUCACCGGUGAAUUGAUGAGCCAAGAGAUCUCGGCAAUGAUGGCGGAGGGUAGCAGCGAGGACGAGCCCGGAACUUACUUUACCCUCAGCGAAAUUCUGGAUCGACCGAGUUCGAUCAGGGCCCAACUAGCAGCAGCCGGUUUGCUAUUGCCUAUUACGGAUCUUGAAGUUCACGAUGACAAACGUCUUCAUGGGAAGCACUGGCCUUACGGCCGAGGAGUUUACGUCGCCUCUGCCGGUGACCUAGCCGCUUGGGUGAACGUUCAGGAUCACCUGAGGGUUAUUUGUCGCACCAGCGAGAACAGACCCGGUUUGAUCGGUCGUGGCUACGUAAGGCUGGCGAAGGUGAUGACGAUGCUCGACGAAAGAAUGAAAUUCAAGAGAGACAAGAAGCUGGGCUUCCUCGGUGCACGACCGUACGCCGUUGGCAAUACUCUUAGGUUUAACGCGAUAAUCAAGUUCCCGGAAUUGUCGAAGGAAUUCGAUCAUUUGAAGCAUCUGUGUGUAGUUCGCGGAUUAAGUAUACAAGAAACGGCGAAACGGGAUAUGGUUCGAAUCGGUAACCAGCAAUCGUUGAGUAUUACCGAGCUGCAGACCCUUCAAGAUUUCUCCAGAGCUGUUCUGAAUAUUCUGGCGUUGGAGAAGGAACUAUCGAUAAACAAUUCGUUGAAGAUUGCAACUUUGAUCGCGGGAAUUUUCCGCAAACGGAACAGUGCUAAACGUUUCCAGAAUUAAUCGUCGUGGAGAGGGGACGCUAAAGCGAUCAACGAAAGACUCUGUAUUUCCUCGUCCAUGUUAUUCAACGCUCCUAUACUAUCAAUUUCAUUCCCUCUUUUUUCCUUUUUUCUUUUUCCUUUUUUCUUUUUCCUUUUUUCUUUUUCCUUUUUCCCUUUUUCCCUUUUUCCUUCUUCCUUUUUCCUUUUCUCUUUGUUCUUUUCUCUUGAUAAUCGAAUAAUACGCUUGUACGUGAAAUCCUUCUGCGAUAAUUCCGUAUAUCGAGCCAAUACGUCGAUCGACCGUCCAUAAGCAAGCUAAAGUGGAAAGUGGAAAGUGGAAAGUCGAAAACGACAAGCCGGUUGAUAUAGCGAUAUUUCGAGAAGAAGAGGGUCGCUACUUAGCAUCGU